AUGGCUCAGGCAUUUCGCUAGCGACAGGCUUAACACAUGCAAGUCGAGGGGCAGCGGGGGUGAUGGCUUGCCAUCACCUGCCGGCGACCGGCGCACGGGUGAGUAACACGUAUGCAACCUGCCCGCCACAGGGGGAUAAGCGGAAGAAAUUCCGUCUAAUACCGCGUGACGCGGCGCCGGGGCAUCCCGGUGCCGCCAAAGGGAUUACCGGUGGCGGAUGGGCAUGCGGCGCAUUAGCUAGUCGGCGGGGUAACGGCCCACCGAGGCGACGAUGCGUAGGGGUUCUGAGAGGAAGGUCCCCCACACUGGUACUGAGACACGGACCAGACUCCUACGGGAGGCAGCAGUGAGGAAUAUUGGUCAAUGGGCGCGAGCCUGAACCAGCCAAGUCGCGUGAGGGAUGACGGUCCUACGGAUUGUAAACCUCUUUUGCCGGGGAGCAAGCGUGCGUUCGUGAACGCGCGUCGAGAGUACCCGGAGAAAAAGCAUCGGCUAACUCCGUGCCAGCAGCCGCGGUAAUACGGAGGAUGCGAGCGUUAUCCGGAUUUAUUGGGUUUAAAGGGUGCGUAGGCGGGAUGCCAAGUCAGCGGUAAAAAUGCGGUGCUCAACGCCGUCGAGCCGUUGAAACUGGCGUUCUUGAGUGGGCGAGAAGUAUGCGGAAUGCGUGGUGUAGCGGUGAAAUGCAUAGAUAUCACGCAGAACUCCGAUUGCGAAGGCAGCAUACCGGCGCCCUACUGACGCUGAGGCACGAAAGCGUGGGUAUCGAACAGGAUUAGAUACCCUGGUAGUCCACGCAGUAAACGAUGAAUGCUAACUGUCCGGCUCGAAUGAGCGCUGGGCGGUACAGCGAAAGCGUUAAGCAUUCCACCUGGGGAGUACGCCGGCAACGGUGAACUCAAAAGGAAUUGACGGGGGGCCGCACAAGCGGAGGAACAUGUGGUUUAAUUCGAUGAUACGCGAGGAACCUUACCCGGGCUCAAACGCAGGAUGACGGGUCCCGAAAGGGGUCUUUCUUCGGACAUUCUGCGAGGUGCUGCAUGGUUGUCGUCAGCUCGUGCCGUGAGGUGUCGGCUUAAGUGCCAUAACGAGCGCAACCCCUGUCCACAGUUGCCAGCAGGUAAAGCUGGGGACUCUGUGGAGACUGCCGGCGCAAGCUGCGAGGAAGGCGGGGAUGACGUCAAAUCAGCACGGCCCUUACGUCCGGGGCGACACACGUGUUACAAUGGCAGGUACAGCGGGAUGCCACGGGGCGACCCGGCGCUGAACCCGAAAACCUGUCUCAGUUCGGAUUGGAGUCUGCAACCCGACUCCAUGAAGCUGGAUUCGCUAGUAAUCGCGCAUCAGCCACGGCGCGGUGAAUACGUUCCCGGGCCUUGUACACACCGCCCGUCAAGCCAUGGAAGCCGGGGGUACCUGAAGUGCGUGACCGCGAGGAGCGCCCUAGGGUAAAACC
rnacentral:rRNA from 1 species